AGCCGUGUGGUGUAGUGGUAAGAUGCAGGGCUCUUAACCGAGAGGUUGCCGGUUCGAUUCCUCCCUGGGGUA